rnacentral:rRNA from 1 species
UUAAAUUGAAGAGUUUGAUCAUGGCUCAGAUUGAACGCUGGCGGCAGGCCUAACACAUGCAAGUCGAACGGUAACAGGAAUCAGCUUGCUGAUUUGCUGACGAGUGGCGGACGGGUGAGUAAUGUCUGGGAAACUGCCUGAUGGAGGGGGAUAACUACUGGAAACGGUAGCUAAUACCGCAUAAUGUCGCAAGACCAAAGAGGGGGACCUUCGGGCCUCUUGCCAUCGGAUGUGCCCA